AAUGAGAUGCCCCAAAUUGCAUACGCAAUCAGCAGUCAAGAAUAUUAGUCAAUGCUCGCAAGAGUGAACUAGCUAACUGAAAUCUUAAGAUCUUUAAAAGUGGUACUUGAGAUAACGUAAGGGAAAAAAAAUGAUAGUACCUUACUAUAAGUGUUGUCCAAUUAACUGGUGCCAGAAGACUCGGUAACGCCAGAAACGCAAACGUUAGUCGUCCUAAUCAGGCGUAAAGGGUAAGUAGGCUGCUUUAAAAGUUAUUAUAUAAAAAGCUCUUUAAUUAACAAAAGUAUAGUAAUAAUGAAUUAAAGCUAGAAUCAAAUAGAGGAUAAGCCAAAUAAUAUUUAGAGUAGGGGUGAAAUCCUUAGAUACUAAAUGGAAUACUAAAGGUGAAAACAUUUAUCUAAAAUUGAUUGACGCUGAGGAACGAAGGUGAGAAUAGAAAAUAGGAUUUGAGACCCAGAUAUCUCUCACUGUCAACGAUGAAUGGUGGUUGUUAGUUUUAAAAAAAACUAGUAACGAUGUUAACGCGAUAACCAUUCCGCCUUGCGAGUACGGUUGCAAAACUGAAACCAAAAAAAUUAGUCGGUCUCGAAGCAAACGGAGUGAAGCAUGUUAUUUAAUACGUAAUUACGCGUAAAAUCUUACCAGUUCUUGCAUAGGCGGAUUACUUAUUUCCAUUUUUAAAUUUAGUCAAGGUUUAGAAAUAUGGAUACGGUGAAAAGUAACAGGUGUUGCAUGGCUGUCGUAAGUCCGUAUUUUAAGAAGUGAGGUUAACUCCACUAACGGACGAAAUCCCUGUUGUUAAUUUAUACUUAACUAUUUAUGAAUUUUAAAUAUUUUCAUUGGGGGCUAAGACAAGUCCUUAUGGCCCUUAUGAACUGGGCUAUAGACGUGCCACAAAGGACUUUUACAAAGUGAUGCGAAACCUUAAUUAAGUACUUAAACUAAAUUAUAAAAAAGGAAGAGCUAAUCAUUAAAGAAAGUUAAUUAUAUUAUAUUUGAACAGAUUGUAGCCUGGAAUUCGGCAACAUGAAGAAGGAAUUUCGAGUAAUCGUUGAUCACUAGCGCAACGGUGAAGAUAGCAUUCGGGAUGAACUAACUGUCUGUCGCUGGGAAGGAGCUCGGAUCGGGGGAAACUGCCGCUUAAUUAUCACUUACAACAAAAUAAGUUUAAUUAACUAUAUCUGCUUAUUAUUUAAUAAGUAAAUUAGAUUUAGUUAAUGACUGUAGCACUAUAUAUUUAUUUAUAGU
rnacentral:rRNA from 1 species